AUGGAGCCUAACUUAGGGCAAGCCCUGGCCACCGUCCUCACGCUGCUGGUGACCAUAAGGGCAGUAUGGUAUCUGAUUUGGAGGCCGUACGCCGUGGCCAGGUGGUUCGCGCGGCAGGGCAUCCGAGGUCCGCCUUACAGGUUCCUUGUUGGGUCCCUGCCAGAGUGCCAUAGGAUGCUUGUCGCCGGGAGAGCCAAGGCUCUGGACACCAGCUCCCAUGACUGCAUCACCACCGUGCAACCCUUCUUCCGGGAAUGGGCCUCCCAGUAUGGAAAAACAUUCCUGUACUGGUUGGGCCCGACACCAGCCCUGUGUUGUACUGACAUGGAGCUUGUGAAGCAAAUGUUCACCGUCAGGACAGAUGUGUUCCAGAAGGACUACUUGAACCCUAGCCUGGACUCAGUUUUUGGGAACGGGGUCAUAUUUGCAAACGGACAAGACUGGAAGCGACGCCGCAAAUUCGUCCACCCGGCCUUCAACCAGGAGACGAUCAAGUCCAUGUCAGCAAUAGCGUGGGACUGCACGCGGCAGACGAUGGAACGGUGGUGCGUCCAGCUGCGAGGGCAGCAGCAAGCCGAGAUAGACAUGAGGUACGACUCCGACGAGAUAGCCAUGGGUGUCAUUGCACAAGUGAUGUUGGGCAAGGACCACGAGGAGGCCCGGGAGGUGUUCAUCGCCGGAAGGGAGCAGCUGAAGAUUGCCGCGUAUGCGUCCGCGGAUCCUCCCUUACCUGGAUUCAGGUACCUGCCGACACGUCGCAACCGUCGGAUGUGGCAGCUCGACAAGCUUGUGACAAGCAAGAUCUCACCCAUCAUGAAGGCGCGACUUGCCAGCAGCGUAUACGAGGACGACCUGCUCGGGCAGAUGCUGCAGCAGCAGGCAUGUCGCAGUGGCAGCGGCGCCGAGACUCUGAGCACCCAGGAGAUGAUCGGCGAGUGCAGGACUCUGUUCGCCGCGGGGUACGAAACCAGCGCCAGCAUCAUUACCUGGGCGAUGUUCCUGCUGGCAGGAGAUGGUCAGUACCAGUAA
rnacentral:rRNA from 1 species